rnacentral:rRNA from 1 species
AUUGAACGCUGGCGGCAGGCUUAACGCAUGCAAGUCGAGCGGGGUGAUGGUGCUUGCACUAUCACUUAGCGGCGGACGGGUGAGUAAUGCUUAGGAAUCUGCCUAUUAGUGGGGGACAACAUCUCGAAAGGGAUGCUAAUACCGCAUACGUCCUACGGGAGAAAGCAGGGGAUCACUUGUGACCUUGUGCUAAUAGAUGAGCCUAAGUCGGAUUAGCUAGUUGGUGGGGUAAAGGCCUACCAAGGCGACGAUCUGUAGCGGGUCUGAGAGGAUGAUCCGCCACACUGGGACUGAGACACGGCCCAGACUCCUACGGGAGGCAGCAGUGGGGAAUAUUGGACAAUGGGGGGAACCCUGAUCCAGCCAUGCCGCGUGUGUGAAGAAGGCCUUAUGGUUGUAAAGCACUUUAAGCGAGGAGGAGGCUUACCUAGUUAAUACCUGGGAUAAGUGGACGUUACUCGCAGAAUAAGCACCGGCUAACUCUGUGCCAGCCGCCGCGGUAAUAC